UUAAAUUGAAGAGUUUGAUCAUGGCUCAGAUUGAACGCUGGCGGCAGGCCUAACACAUGCAAGUCGAGCGGUAGCACAGAGAGCUUGCUCU
rnacentral:rRNA from 3 species